rnacentral:rRNA from 1 species
UACGUAGGUGGCGAGCGUUGUCCGGAUUUGCUGGGCGUAAAGGGAGCGUAGGCGGACUUUUAAGUGAGAUGUGAAAUACUCGGGCUCAACUUGAGUGCUGCAUUUCAGACUGGAAGUCUAGAGUGCAGGAGAGGAGAAUGGAAUUCCUAGUGUAGCGGUGAAAUGCGUAGAGAUUAGGAAGAACACCAGUGGCGAAGGCGAUUCUCUGGACUGUAACUGACGCUGAGGCUCGAAAGCGUGGGGAGCAAACAGG